GCCUGGCUGGCUCGGUAGGUGGAGCGUGUAACUCUUGAUUUCAGGGUUAUGAGUUCAAGCCCCAUGUUGGGUC
rnacentral:tRNA from 1 species